UACAGAGGUCUCAAGCGUUGUUCGGAUUCAUUGGGCGUAAAGGGUGUGUAGGUGGCGCGCUAAGUCGGGUGUGAAAUUUCGGAGCUUAACUGCGAAACUGCAUUCGAUACUGGCGUGCUUGAGGACUGGAGAGGAGACUGGAAUUCAUGGUGUAGCAGUGAAAUGCGUAGAGAUCAUGAGGAAGACCAGUGGCGAAGGCGGGUCCCUGGACAGUUCCUGACACUGAGACACGAAGGCCAGGGGAGCAAACGGG
rnacentral:rRNA from 1 species